AUACGGAGGGUGCAAGCGUUACUCGGAAUCACUGGGCGUAAAGCGCGCGCAGGCGGCUUGAUAAGUUGGAUGUGAAAGCCUACGGCUCAACCGUAGAACUGCAUCCAAAACUGUCAGGCUCGAGUGUGGGAGAGGAAGAUGGAAUUAGUUGUGUAGGGGUAAAAUCCGUAGAGAUAACUAGGAAUACCAAAAGCGAAGGCAAUCUUCUGGAACACUACUGACGCUGAGGCGCGAAGGCGUGGGGAGCAAACAGGAUUAGAAACCCGGGUAGUCC
rnacentral:rRNA from 1 species